UCCUACGGGGGGCAGCAGUAGGGAAUCUUCCACAAUGGACGAAAGUCUGAUGGAGCAACGCCGCGUGAGUGAAGAAGGGUUUCGGCUCGUAAAGCUCUGUUGGUAGUGAAGAAAGAUAGAGGUAGUAACUGGCCUUUAUUUGACGGUAAUUACUUAGAAAGUCACGGCUAACUACGUGCCAGCAGCCGCGGUAAUACGUAGGUGGCAAGCGUUAUCCGGAUUUAUUGGGCGGAAAGGGAAAGCAGGCGGGCUUUUUAGUCUGAUGUGAA
rnacentral:rRNA from 1 species